AUAACUGAAAUGGCUUCUCGUUUUCUCGGAAGAACUGUUUUCGUUGUCAAAUCUGAGCACUAUGUUAUUAUACUGCAACAGAUUUGUUAACUGUCACUGGCUGCACUAACGUGUAUUUUCCACGCUGUACGUAACUAUACACGUACGUAUAUAGAAGAGCAUGACAUGUACACUGGGAGAGUAGUUAGUAGCGGCAUCACCAGUGCCAUUUAAUGCGAGGGAGUGCUUAGACACAAGGGCGUUUCAAGUACAUAAGGAAUGAAGCCAAAGUUCGCGUUCACAUUAAGCGACUGAAGUGCCAUAAUAUUUUGAACUGAAAGACAUACCUGCCAGCCUCGAAGAUGCUUGGACUUUGACUACUGGAGAGAGAGAGCGAAAGAUACAAGAUGGCGUCGACCUUCGCUGUAGGACUUGCAGUGGGGGGAGCAGUUGCAGUAGUUGCCAUCAUUGUCACCGUUAUUAUAGUUCUGCUGUGCCGCAGAUUUUGUUUACGAGAGAAGAGCAAUUCUACAGCAUAUGAAGCUAUAGGAGAUUUCAAACCCACAUCUCAGGCCCUUGUCACACCCUCACCAAGUCAGGAAUCUAUGGGCUUGCCUCACCAAAGAAACGUCCAGCCACGCGCAAAGUCAACAUUUGGAACUGGCCCGAGUAUGUCUAGAGAAGCGUUGCUCAGUGUCAGCGACAGCGGGAGCAUCAAGUCGGUGCAAAGUGGGCGGAGUGAGUCGUCUGUUACAAGUGGAGAUAUUAGCAGUACCAGCGUAGACGCUGGAUUAGGUAUGAUUUUCUAUUUAG